rnacentral:lncRNA from 1 species
UUUUAUAGUGUUAAAUCAUCAGACUGAGAAACUCUUUUUUUUUCCUUAAUUAAGCUAAUUUGAAAUGUUUUGCAGGUUUGGAGAGUGGCUGAUGCUCCUGAAGAUGACAAAUACCAGUACACAUAUUUUACGCACAAGUUAAACAGCUUUGACACUGCUCCUAAGAAGUUGUUGCCAUCAGAUUCUCGUUUACGUCCUGAUAGAUAUGCACUGGAGAAGGGUGACCUUUCCAAAGCUGGUUCCGAGAAGAGCAGGUCUCUCUCUCUCUCUCUCACGCACACACGCGCGCGUAUACACACACACAGACACACACACGCACGCACUAAAUUUAUCUUCAUAAAGAGAAAGGUCUCUAAUAUGGCAAAAUUGAUUCCUUUUUCACAUUUGAUUUAAGAAUAAUGAAAGAACUUGUGUCUUUAUUUUGUUGAUGCUGUUAUAGAUUGGAGGAGAGACAGAGAGCUGAAAAAAGAAUCCGUGAGGCCAAAGAUGAUAUGUUUACUCCAAAAUGGUUUGACCUUAGUGAUGAAGUCACCCCUACUCCUUGGGGUGACUUGGAAGUGUACCGGUACAAUGGCAAGUAUUCUGAACUUCGGGCUACUCUAGAUAAUUCAGAAAGCCUUGGAGAGAUUAACCCUGAGACAACCGAGUUCAACCCGUGGCAAUAUGAAGACUCGGCUGCUGAAUGAGUAAAUCACGCAAU